UCCAACCAAAAACCAAAUAGUCACAAAAAAUAUGGGGCACAGAGAAGAGAAUGUCAGCCUAAUCCCUAACAUGGGUACCUUCUGGCUAUCACCCCAAAACCUAGCCUUCCCCAGACUCAACUGUUGAUGCCUCCUCUGCUCCAGAUGAAACUGGUGUGCUUGGAAACAUAGGGAGACAACCCAUAUACUCGGGUCUUCUGUUGGAAGAGCUUUCAGCCCAACCCAUUUACUCCUGCAUCUUCAGGAUGCCCCCAUUUCCAUGAAUGCACAGGAAAGCCAACACUCCACCCACAUCAUGGGCAUCAGAGGUCAUCAUGCCCACAUUCUAACCUGGUACAUUUCCCAAUAUGGUGAAACUGCUGGACUGACUGUAUUUUCACUCCCCCACCUCCUGUUUGCUCUGAUUUCAGAUCCUAAACAUCACUGUGAAAGCCCCAGCCUGCUGCUGAGCCAGCUGCUGCCCCACAUGGAGAAGAUGGGAGGCUGGGGGCCUAUAAUGUCAGUGAAACAGCCCUGUUGGUCCUCAGCAAGACCCUUGCAGGGAGCUGGCACACCAAAGAACAUUCAGGCAAACUGUCUGAUAGCAGGAAUCAUUGACACAUGCUUCAGCACCAUGGUGAGGACCACGGGCAGCUCCUGUUUCUACCCCCUGAGCAGUAGUGUGCCUUCCCCUUCCAGGCCAUGCCCCACAGAGAGCUGGAUCCUCUGGCCUGGACCUGUGGACUUUUGCUCCAAUAUUCAUAGCCUUUUGGGAUCAGCAGCAGAAUCAGAAUCAGUUUUUUGUGAGAGGCCACCCCAACAGUUCUUUCACAAGAACACAGGCCUGCAAGAUGCACAGCCUAUGUGACAUGACUCCAUCUGUAUGAGUGGCACUGACUUUUUUACCUUUCCUGUAGCUCCUUGAGGACUUGGUCUUGGGGGAUCACAUGAAAAGUCUCUUGAGAGUACAGAGGUAAGUUGUGGAGAGGCCGUGUCCCCUGUGGAGCUGGAUUAACAUGACCUCAGAACCUUCAUUAUGAGCAAAAGAUCACACACUAUCCAUCACAGGCUUACUCAUUCCCGUUUCUGGGGUCUGACAGUCCUCUCGGGCCUGGAAUGACCUCUGCAGGUCCCUGCAAAGCCCACAUCUCUUCGCUUACAGCCCUUUGCUCAUCCCCAUAGGGGUUUUGACUUCACAGCCUCCCAUGGGAACCCAGGGCUCAUGGGGAAGGUGUAAUUAGUCUCAGCUCCACCUCCUUUUUCCAUGCAGAGUGGGGCAGCCUGAGGACUGUGUGGGCUCGUGUCCUUCCUGUGCUAUCCAGACACCAGCCACAUUACUGGAGACAACAUCAUGGUGGCCAGAAUUUCCCCUCACCUCUGAGGGUCAGGAGAUCUGAGCUUGGGCUUCUGUCUGGUGCAGGAGCUUCAGAGGGUCCUUGUGCCACCCCACUGCAACACCUUAUUAACAACCGUUCAACAUUCCAAAUACACACUUUGAUUCAAAACUGUCACUGGCAGAAAUAAUAAAGAACAUCAGAAAUAUGUCA
rnacentral:lncRNA from 1 species